ensembl:misc_RNA Metazoa_SRP Metazoan signal recognition particle RNA
GCCAGGUGUGGUGGUGCACGCCUGUAGUCCCAGCUACUGGGGAGGCUGAGGUGGGAGAAUUGCUUGAACCCAGGAGGCAGAGGCUGCAGUGAGCCGAGAUUGUGCCACUGCACUCCAGCCUGGGCAACAAAGCAAGACCCUGUCUCAA